UUGCUCUGAGAUCGAUCAUACCAUUUCACUUGCAGAUAAUCUCUCUGUUAUGGCUUCACUUGUUUACUUCAUCUUGUGUCUUUGUUUGCAUGCAUGCACAGCUAGACCGCUUAUGGUUUGGGAUGAGGAACGUUUUGAGCUUCCUCGCACGGAUGUAAAGACUUCUGCAGUAGAGGGAUUGGCUCGUCGUACGAAUGUCGUCGUGCAGUUGGACAAUCAGAAGUCUUCUGCAGUUAAAGAAGCAGAAAACAAUGAAGGCAACAAGCUCAAAGUUUCAUAUUCCUGGAAGAAUCUGCAGGAGGCUACUGGAAAAGAGAUAUGGAAGAGAGCAGAACGAUCGACACUGGAAUCACCACCGUCCCAUGCCGAGGAAACUGUGAGCUCUAAGGAUAAUGACACGGUGGAAGACAUAGUAGUUAUGGACUACGCACAACCCCAUCGCAAACCACCGAUCCAUAACAGGGGCACCUAAGAUACAUGUUGAUUUCCCACCAUGCACAUGUUCGAUUUGUGAAAAUAAAUCUCCCUGCUGUUAAUCUCGUUUCCCUUUUUUUUCUUUUUUCCGUUUCUUUUAUUAGUCGUCGUAAGGGGGAUAGAAUGGGAAACAGAAGCAACCCAUAUGCAUUUAGCAUUAUGUGAUUUGUUGGAAAUGAAUUAUGACACUUUUGAUCAGUUGUACAAAAUUAAGUGGACAUUUGACAACUCUUCAGAAAAUAUCCUCCAAAUUCAGCAAAUUUCGUUCCCCAGUAGGUCCUAUUCAAUGCAUGUAACAAGUUGUAGGUGGUGAGAAUGUGAUGAAUUGAGGGGUGAUGGUCCUCUACACGUUGCCUGUUGUUUGUAUUAAAUGUGCUGACAAUAAAGAAUUAUAUAAACAUCUGAUGGUUUUCUUAUGCAGUAGCCGUUGCAAUAAAUGUUGCUUUAAUUGCUUUCUUCUCAAUGCACAAAGACACAUGUU